CUGAACCAGCCAAGUAGCGUGAAGGAUGACUGCCCUAUGGGUUGUAAACUUCUUUUAUAAAGGAAUAAAGUCGGGUAUGCAUACCCGUUUGCAUGUACUUUAUGAAUAAGGAUCGGCUAACUCCGUGCCAGCAGCCGCGGUGAUACGGAGGAUCCGAGCGUUAUCCGGAUUUAUUGGGUUUAAAGGGAGCGUAGAUGGAUGUGUAAGUCAGUUGUGAAAGUUUGCGG
rnacentral:rRNA from 1 species